UCAGUACAUUGUUCCAAUAGUUAAAUAUAUAUUUCACUAAAGUUUAAAUACUAAAAAUGCAGGAGAGAAAAAGAUGGGUUUUAGCGCAAAUGUUGAGCACAAUUUUCAGGUUAAAACACAGUUUAGAGAAACAACUGCUUUCAAAUGAAAAGACAAGUUUUAGAUUUACUGUUGGAGACAUUACAUUGAUAAAAGAAUUAUGCGUUGAUAUUAAUGAAGAAAUAUUUUUUUCAAAUCUGCUAUAUCUUUACAAAAUAAGGAAUCCUAAUCAAAAUUUU